GCCUGCAUGUGGAGUGUACCUGUAGUCCCAGCUACUUGGGAGACUGAGACAGGAAGGUUGCUUUAGCCCAGGAGUUCAAGGCCAGCCUGGGCAACAUAGGAAAUCUUCAUCUCAA
rnacentral:sRNA from 1 species